GAUCUCAUGACUCACUGUCAUGAGGGAGCCUUCUCCUUCCUGUGAGCAGUAAUCAGUUUACUAGCAAAUCUCUGUGAGCUCCUGCAUACGAGAAGACGCCUCCAUCCUUUCUUGCUAGCUUCCGGAAUGCAGCAAUCAGAUGUGCUCCAGAAGUGAUUGUAUUCAGAUGAAGAUAGUAAGGCACCAAGGCUGUGUAACACUUCUCAUCCUUCAUCUAAUAUACCACACAAUGCACUACAAGCCUCCGAGUGAAGGUGUUUGCUGCAGGAGGGCAGUCAUGCUGAAACACAUCUUCCAGAGGAGAUUUGCUGCUUUGGUUUACACAGGGCUGUGUAACAGUUCACAACAUCUGCUCCAUCGUGACUCCUUUCUUGGGGACAAACAUCUUCAGCAAACAAAUGGAAUGGGGGCUCAACCUGCGGCUCUGCCAGAACAGCCUCCAUCUCUCGCCAUCAAGCAAAACAGCACCAAAGAAUGAAGUAGUGUCCCGAGUUCUGAGUCAAGCAACACCUCAUUCUGGUCUGUGUGCUGGGUCACACCAGUCCCUGGAUACGUACCUGGCUGUACAGGCAGGAUUUCAGCUUAAAUUCCUGGACUCUCAGUAUGUUCAGCACAUCCUUCAAACCUCUCCUAAUAAAUGGAGCCAAGGGCAUGAGGGGGGACCCCAGAUGGACACUUUGCUCAGCUGUAACAGAUCUGUGACUCUAAGGUUGACACGAGGGUGCACUGACGUAAAGGAAAAUGCACGCCGUCACAUUUUAAUUAUAUAG
rnacentral:lncRNA from 1 species